CAGCAGCCGCGGUAAUACGUAGGGGGCAAGCGUUAUCCGGAAUUAUUGGGCGUAAAGCGAGCGCAGGUGGUUUCUUAAGUCUGACGUGAAAGCCCACGGCUCAACCGUGGAGGGUCAUUGGAAACUGGGAGACUUGAGUGCAGAAGAGGAAAGUGGAAUUGCCAUGUGUAGCGGUGAAAUGCGUAGAGAUAUGGAGGAACACCAGUGGCGAAGGCGACUUUCUGGUCUGGAACUGACGCUGAGGCGCGAAAGCGUGGGGAGCAAACAGGAUUAGAUACCCUAGUCAGUUCCACGCCGUUAAACGAUGAGUGAUUAAGUGUUAGGAGGGUUCCCGACCCAUUAGGGCUGCAAGCUGAACUGCAUUAAGGCACGCCGCCAGGG
rnacentral:rRNA from 1 species